rnacentral:lncRNA from 1 species
UUCCUGUCCAGGUGCUUCGGCUAUAGUGCUGCAUUCGCCGGGCGUGGUCAUAUUGGCCAUCUUCACCUUUGUGAUGGCCGGCACUGUUCCGCUCAUCGGACUGGACGUACUGCGGAAGCGGUGCACGACUCACGAACAGUGCGCAAUUCUCGCGAUGCAUCCUGCGUGCCUGACAUUGGGACCGCGAAAACAAUCAAACGCAGCACAUAGCCGAGACAUCGUUUUGCGUCUUCAGCAAGCCUGUAACAGUAAGUAUGCUCUAAUAGGCUCAUGAGAGCGCGCAUUUCAAACGAUGCAUCCUGCGUGCGUGACAUUUGGGGCGGCGCAGAGAGCAGUCACAACACCUAGCAGAGAGCACGCCUGGUGCCUUUGGCAAACCUA